rnacentral:rRNA from 1 species
UACGGAGGGUGCAAGCGUUAAUCGGAAUUACUGGGCGUAAAGCGCACGCAGGCGGUCUGUUAAGUUAGAUGUGAAAUCCCCGGGCUUAACCUGGGAACUGCAUUUGAAACUGGCAAGCUUGAGAGAUGUAGGGGAAGGUGGAAUUCCAGGUGUAGCGGUGAAAUGCGUAGAGAUUAGGAGGAAUACCGGUGGCGAAGGCGACCCCCUGGCCAUAGACUGACGCUCAGGUGCGAAAGCGUGGGGAGCAAACAGG